rnacentral:rRNA from 1 species
GAUGAACGCUAGCGGCAGACUUAACACAUGCAAGUCGAGGGGCAGCAUAAUGGAUAGCAAUAUCUAUGGUGGCGACCGGCGCACGGGUGCGUAACGCGUAUGCAACCUACCUUUAACAGGGGGAUAACACUGAGAAAUUGGUACUAAUACCCCAUAAUAUCAUAGAAGGCAUCUUUUAUGGUUGAAAAUUCCGAUGGUUAGAGAUGGGCAUGCGUUGUAUUAGCUAGUUGGUGGGGUAACGGCUCACCAAGGCGACGAUACAUAGGGGGACUGAGAGGUUAACCCCCCACACUGGUACUGAGACACGGACCAGACUCCUACGGGAGGCAGCAGUGAGGAAUAUUGGUCAAUGGACGCAAGUCUGAACCAGCCAUGCCGCGUGCAGGAUGACGGCUCUAUGAGUUGUAAACUGCUUUUGUACGAGGGUAAACGCAGAUACGUGUAUCUGUCUGAAAGUAUCGUACGAAUAAGGAUCGGCUAACUCCGUG